CCUUACUGUAGCUUUGUAUUGGACUUUGAACAGAUCUGUGUAGGAUAGGUGGGAGGCUUUGAAGCUGGGACGCUAGUUCUAGUGGAGCCAACGUUGAAAUACCACCCUGGUGUGUUUGAGGUUCUAACCUAGGUCCAUUAUCUGGAUCGGGGACAGUGCAUGGUAGGCAGUUUGACUGGGGCGGUCUCCUCCCAAAGCGUAACGGAGGAGUUCGAAGGUACGUUAGUUACGGUCGGACAUCGUGAUGAUAGUGCAAUGGCAUAAACGUGCUUAACUGCGAGACUGACAAGUCGAGCAGAUACGAAAGUAGGACAUAGUGAUCCGGUGGUUCUGUAUGGAAGGGCCAUCGCUCAACGGAUAAAAGGUA
rnacentral:rRNA from 1 species